rnacentral:rRNA from 1 species
CACACGACUCUCGGCAACGGAUAUCUCGGCUCUCGCAUCGAUGAAGAACGUAGCGAAAUGCGAUACCUGGUGUGAAUUGCAGAAUCCAGCGAACCAUCGAGUCUUUGAACGCAAGUUGCGCCUGAGGCCACUUGGCCGAGGGCACGCCUGCUUGGGCGUCACGU